rnacentral:rRNA from 1 species
UACAGAGGGUGCAAACGUUGCUCGGAAUCAUUGGGCGUAAAGCGCACGUAGGCGGUUCGUUAUGUCGGAUGUGAAAGCCCUUGGCUUAACCGAGGAAGUGCAUCCGAAACUGGCGAGCUAGAGUACUAAAGAGGAUCGCGGAAUUCCCGGUGUAGAGGUGAAAUUCGUAGAUAUCGGGAGGAACACCGGUGGCGAAGGCGGUUCUCUGGGCCUGUACUGACGCUGAGGAGCGAAAGCGUGGGGAGCAAACAGG